UCCAUUUAACGGACCAACUCAGCCCAAUCCUCCAUCUGAUAAUGGGGUAAUACCCCUUUAUCAUUUUUCAUUCACGCCAAACGACCCCUAAUGCUCACACCUCUCCCCUCUCUCCGCAUUCCCCUAGAAACCCUAGGCGCCGUCAUCUAUUUUCUCUCUAUUUUCAUGCCAAAAAUGCCAAAGAUGUAGAGAUUUCAGAGCUGCUACAGCUUUUGCACAACCAAAUCCAUAUAACAAUUAAUGUUUGAUCCUGUUUUCGCUCGAAAUCACUCCAAACACAGUAUUAGCCUUUUCCUCUUUCGCUUUUCCUUUAAUUUUUCAAAUAAAACAUUGCAAUUACUGUGUUUAUUUGACUGUAUGAAUGAAUUUUCAAUGGUUCUAAGAGCUUGGCUUGGAUCGAUCCAAGAUGGAUCAGAUCUGGCUGUGAAUGCUUGUUAGCUUUAGAUACUAGCCGUUAAAAUUUUGAUGUUAAAUGUUUGUUUCUAAGAAAUUCUUUUGUCCCACACCAGUUGGUUUUACUGUUUGUCAUGGCUUUGGUAAAUAGAACCCCAACCCUCAUCAUUAAAAAAAAGAAAGGGGUGGGGGAACCUACAAAAAUCUUGAACUUUGAGUUUAACUUGAAAUUUGAGCUUUAUCAGUAUAAUUUUAGACCUAAACUUAAAAAGAGUUGAGUCUUCUAGUUCUAAAAUUUGUUUUCCUUUAUGUUGGUGGGGCUGAGUUUGGGAUUUGGAAGCACAAAGGGCUUCAAAUUCGUUCUUGACACAGGCUGCACAUAAAAAAGGUACUGAUUUAUAGGACGACACAUCUGCUCAGUAGGACAACAUUCGUAUCAGCUUAUUGUUGAGCCCCAUCUCAUUCGGGGUUUAGUCAACUCUUUAUCGUAUGAUUAGCUAAUGCAUCUAAGGUAUACUGGGGGCCUUGUCCCAGCGAGUAUGUUUUCCAUGUUCAGAUUUAUGUUAGAGGUUUCAUAGACUAGACAAGUCAGUUAUGUCAUGUCACACUUUCAGAGUUGUAUGACCAUUUUGGCUCAUUCAUGUUAUUUCCACACUCACGUUUAAACAAGUAUUUUGAUUAA